AGUAAGUAAAAUGGUUUGCAGUAAAGUAAAUGGCAACAAUAGAAAUGCAAACCAAAGGACAUGCCAAUUUUAUAGUGGUUCAGUUGUCGUGACCUACAUCCACUCCGUCAAUUCCUCUUCCGUCGAGGCCAUCGGUAUCCACUAUCAAUCUUUUUUCAAUAGGCGAAGACCAACCACCUUUUACACCCCUCUUCUCCUUUUCACAGGUUUAGGAGACAACCUUUACAAGCACUCACUCCUCCUAAACAUAAUUCUAAACUUAGACUACAUGAGGGGAUUUCUCAAGUGAUUGCAACAGCGUUUC
rnacentral:lncRNA from 1 species